rnacentral:rRNA from 1 species
GUGGGGAAUCUUCCGCAAUGGACGAAAGUCUGACGGAGCAACGCCGCGUGAGUGAAGAAGGUUUUCGGAUCGUAAAGCUCUUUCGUUAGGGACGAACGUGCUCUUUGUGAAUAAUGAGGAGUAAUGACGGUACCUAAAUAAGAAGCCACGGCUAACUACGUGCCAGCAGCCGCGGUAAUACGUAGGUGGCAAGCGUUGUCCGGAAUUAUUGGGCGUAAAGCGCGCGCAGGCGGGAUAGCAAGUCUGUCUUAAAAGUGCGAGGCUCAACCUCGUGAGGGGACAGAAACUGGUAUUCUUGAGUGUCGCAGAGGAAAGUGGAAUUCCAAGUGUAGCGGUGAAAUGCGUAGAGAUUUGGAAGAACACCAGUGGCGAAGGCGACUUUCUGGACGAUGUCUGACGCUGAGGCGCGAAAGCUAGGGGAGCGAACGGGAUUAGAUACCCGAGUAGUCC